UGUGUCUGACGGCUCAUCUCGCUGUCCAGCUGCUUCCUGGCAUCCUUCCUGGUUUCCACUGCAGUCUUGUAAGUGUCCUGGAGGUCGACCAGCUCUUUGCUGAUGCGUUCGGUAUCAUCGAGCGAGAGUGCAAAGGCAGCUGGCAGAGGAAUGGCCAAGAAAGGAAAGACCUCACUGAGCGACAAAGAUGAGGACAAAAGCUGGUGAUGAUUCAGUGCAGCUGGUCUCAGGGGAUGAAGCAAAAGCCUGAUCAACUUAACAAGGCUGAAUGAGACGGGGGAAGUAAACAGCGAUACAUUCACCCAGAGUGCUGAUGUUCCUGUAUGAACUGAAAAACUUUGAACAUCCAAGAAAAAGCUGAGUGGAUCCUCAGGCCAAUAUUCAGUAUCAGAAGAACAGCAGCAAGAAGCGCCAGGCACACUGCAGCCAGUCUGUGGCGUCUCCCAGGACUCAUAGUGAACAUGGACACUAAACAGGCAGA